rnacentral:lncRNA from 1 species
UUCAAUGGCGGAUUUUUGGCCACGUCGGUCGUUUACGUUUUGUGCGUUGAAUUCCUUUUAUGAAAAUUGUGGUAAUUUUUUAUAGUUAGAAGUAAUACUGUCCAUUCAUCACCUCCUUUACUAUGAAGAUUCAUUUUUUUCAAAAGUGCUAGUUUGUAAAAUUUGCAUGUAAAGUGUUAUAUGUUAUUCUCACCCGUACCCAGCUCGUACCCCUGCGAUACUAAAUGUUUUACAAGAUUGCAGAUGCCAAUCAGCGAGGAUAGGAUUGGGAUGGAAUCUCUUGGUUUAUAUGUUUGUAUUGAGCUUGAUUUCUUUUAAUUGAGGUUAAUAGUCAGGGAAUUUGAAAAGAGGCAAUUUGUGUAAGUUAUGUUAAAGGGACAUAAUUCUCUUUGGAUCGUAAAUGUAUAACUGGGUAAUUUUUAAAGCUGUUGUGUAAAUUCCAAUCAUCAAAAUGUAGUGGUUGUAUCUCUGAUGUAAUUCACUUUCUCGUUCCCAUCCUGCAGGACCACAAGCUGUGUAGAAAUGUGUUGCUAGACCUUGAUGAAAGGUUGAGGAAGAACUAUUAGCCAAGAUGUAACUGAACUGGUUUCCAGACUGUGGGUUCCAAGCUGUUGGGAAAUAUUUGUUGCUAGAUCUUCAGAAAAUGUUCUCAGGCA